rnacentral:lncRNA from 1 species
GUUUGUAACUUCAAUUUAGAGAGACACAUGUAUUGUAUUAGCAGCCACGUAUCUUUCUCUUCUGCCACGUGUAACACAAACCCUCAAGAAGCCCCAAACAAGAACACACAAACCCUCACAAACAAUCCAAUCAGUAAACCAAAUCUCACUCUCAAUCUUAUUCUUGCACCAAUUUCCUAUUCGAUUCUCUGUUGAUAGAACCUAAAUUACGGAUUUUGGCCCUAAUUUGAAGUCAUGACGCAAGCAGAAGACGGAGGUUCGAACAAGGAACUUUAUGCUCUACUUCAUCUUCUCGCCUCCGACUAACAGAUGGUUAAAGUAGCAAGGAUUGAGCCGGUUAAAUAAUUGAACUACAGAUAGUGCAAAAUCCAACCAGGAAUGUGACACUAGGCAGAUUGACAAGAAGCACCCUAUAGUUUACAACAGGACCAUGAAGAUUAAAAGAAGGGGUUGGGUUGAAAAAGAUAGUCCGGUGGGGGCUGAAUAUUGUAUUCUUUCUGACUAAUCAGCAGAGAAACAAGUAUAGGGCCCGUAAAGCUUGUUAAAAUGUUCGGAACUCGGUUGUGUGAGUGUUAAUAUUAUUGUACCCAGAUGAAGAAAGAGCAAGAAGUUUUAGUAGUAGCUCUAUAAUUGUGGGUUGUAUUCUUAAGGAGUUAUCCAACACUUGCUUAUGUGCUCUUUGUGGGGUUGGAAUCUAGUUUGAUCGAUAACAUUAAGAGUCUGCUAAGAUUGCCUCACAAAACGAGCGGGCUGAGUGACAAGUAAAAAAUCG